rnacentral:rRNA from 1 species
GCUUGUCUCAAAGAUUAAGCCAUGCAUGUCUAAGUAUAACUCUUUUACUUUGAAAACUGCGAACGGCUCAUUAUAUCAGUUAUAGUUUCUUUGAUAGUCCCUUACUACUUGGAUACCCGUAGUAAUUCUAGAGCUAAUACAUGCAUCAAUACCCAACUGUUCGCGGAAGGGUAGUAUUUAUUAGGUAUAGACCAACCCUUCGGGUGCUUGGUGAAUCAUAAUAACCGAACGAACCGCAUGCGCAAGCGGCGGUGGUUCAUUCAAGUUUCUGCCCUAUCAGCUUUCGAUGGUAGGGUAUUGGCCUACCAUGGCUUUAACGGGUAACGGAGAAUUAGGGUUCGAUUCCGGAGAGGGAGCCUGAGAAACGGCUACCACAUCCAAGGAAGGCAGCAGG